UCGAAUUACCGAGGGUUGAUGCUGGCAGUCCUUGAUUGCAUGUGCUCACACUCAUUAAUCCCACUUACACAUGUGCACUAAAUUAUUUUUGAAGGCAGAGUAAAGUCUGUCUUUGGAACUUAUAAAUUCUUAUUUGAUGUAAUGGAUGCAUAUCUGCCGCAAGGCGAAAUUUAAUA
rnacentral:misc_RNA from 1 species